rnacentral:rRNA from 1 species
AACGAACGCUGGCGGCAUGCCUAACACAUGCAAGUCGAACGAGACCUUCGGGUCUAGUGGCGCACGGGUGCGUAACGCGUGGGAACCUGCCUUUAGGUUCGGAAUAACUCAGAGAAAUUUGAGCUAAUACCGGAUGAUGUCUUCGGACCAAAGAUUUAUCGCCUUUAGAUGGGCCCGCGUUGGAUUAGCUAGUUGGUGGGGUAAAGGCCUACCAAGGCGACGAUCCAUAGCUGGUCUGAGAGGAUGGUCAGCCACACUGGGACUGAGACACGGCCCAGACUCCUACGGGAGGCAGCAGUGGGGAAUAUUGGACAAUGGGCGAAAGCCUGAUCCAGCAAUGCCGCGUGAGUGAUGAAGGCCUUAGGGUUGUAAAGCUCUUUUACCCGAGAUGAUAAUGACAGUAUCGGGAGAAUAAGCUCCGGCUAACUCCGCGCCAGCCGCCGCCGUAAUAC